rnacentral:rRNA from 1 species
UACGUAGGGGGCGAGCGUUAUCCGGAUUCAUUGGGCGUAAAGCGCGCGUAGGCGGCCGCCUAAGCGGAACCUCUAACCCCGGGGCUCAACCUCGGGCCGGGUUCCGGACUGGGCGGCUCGAGUGCGGUAGAGGAGAGCGGAAUUCCCGGUGUAGCGGUGGAAUGCGCAGAUAUCGGGAAGAACACCGAUGGCGAAGGCAGCUCUCUGGGCCGUCACUGACGCUGAGGCGCGGAAGCUGGGGGAGCGAACAGG